AUUGAACGCUGGCGGCAGGCCUAACACAUGCAAGUCGAGCGGAUGAGAGGAGCUUGCUCCUCGAUUCAGCGGCGGACGGGUGAGUAAUGCCUAGGAAUCUGCCUAGUAGUGGGGGACAACGUUUCGAAAGGAACGCUAAUACCGCAUACGUCCUACGGGAGCAAGUGGGGGAUCUUCGGACCUCACGCUAUUAGAUGAGCCUAGGUCGGAUUAGCUAGUUGGUAGGGUAACGGCCUACCAAGGCGACGAUCCGUAACUGGUCUGAGAGGAUGAUCAGUCACACUGGAACUGAGACACGGUCCAGACUCCUACGGGAGGCAGCAGUGGGGAAUAUUGGACAAUGGGCGAAAGCCUGAUCCAGCCAUGCCGCGUGUGUGAAGAAGGCCCUCGGGUCGUAAAGCACUUUCAGUUGGGAGGAAGGGCUUACAGCGAAUACCUGUGAGUUUUGACGUUACCGACAGAAUAAGCACCGGCUAACUUCGUGCCAGCCGCCGCCGUAA
rnacentral:rRNA from 1 species